rnacentral:rRNA from 1 species
UACAGAGGUCUCAAGCGUUGUUCGGAUUCAUUGGGCGUAAAGGGUGUGUAGGUGGCGCGCUAAGUCGGGUGUGAAAUUUCGGAGCUUAACUCCGAAACUGCACUGGAUACUGCUCUGCUAGAGGGCUGGAGAGGAGAUCGGAAUUCACGGUGUAGCAGUGAAAUGCGUAGAUAUCGUGAGGAAGACCAGUGGCGAAGGCGGAUCUCUGGACAGCUCCUGACGCUGAGGCGCGAAGGCUAGGGGAGCAAACGGG